rnacentral:rRNA from 1 species
UGGGGAAUAUUGGGCAAUGGGGGAAACCCUGACCCAGCAACGCCGCGUGAAGGAAGACGGUUUUCAGAUUGUAAACUUCUGUUCUUAGUGAAGAAUAAUGACGGUAGCUAAGGAGCAAGCCACGGCUAACUACGUGCCAGCAGCCGCGGUAAUACGUAGGUGGCAAGCGUUGUCCGGAAUUACUGGGUGUAAAGGGAGCGCAGGCGGGAGACCAAGUCAGCUGUGAAAACUACGGGCUUAACCUGUAGACUGCAGUUGAAACUGGUUUUCUUGAGUGAAGUAGAGGUUGGCGGAAUUCCGAGUGUAGCGGUGAAAUGCGUAGAUAUUCGGAGGAACACCGGUGGCGAAGGCGGCCAACUGGGCUUUAACUGACGCUGAGGCUCGAAAGUGUGGGGAGCAAACAGGAUUAGAUACC